rnacentral:rRNA from 1 species
UACGGAGGGUGCGAACGUUGUUCGGAAUCACUGGGCGUAAAGCGCGCGUAGGCGGCACGUCAAGUCAGAUGUGAAAGCCCAUGGCUCAACCAUGGAAGUGCAUUUGAAACUGUCGAGCUAGAAUACGGGAGAGGGUUGUAGAAUUCCUGGUGUAGAGGUGAAAUUCGUAGAUAUCAGGAGGAAUACCAGUGGCGAAGGCGGCAACCUGGACCGAUAUUGACGCUGAGGUGCGAAAGCGUGGGGAGCAAACAGG